UGGGGAAUAUUGGACAAUGGGCGAAAGCCUGAUCCAGCCAUGCCGCGUGUGUGAAGAAGGCCUUUUGGUUGUAAAGCACUUUAAGCGAGGAGGAGGCUACUUAGAUUAAUACUCUAGGAUAGUGGACGUUACUCGCAGAAUAAGCACCGGCUAACUCUGUGCCAGCAGCCGCGGUAAUACAGAGGGUGCGAGCGUUAAUCGGAUUUACUGGGCGUAAAGCGUGCGUAGGCGGCUUCUUAAGUCGGAUGUGAAAUCCCUGAGCUUAACUUAGGAAUUGCAUUGGAUACUGGGAAGCUAGAGUAUGGGAGAGGAUGGUAGAAUUCCAGGUGUAGCGGUGAAAUGCGUAGAGAUCUGGAGGAAUACCGAUGGCGAAGGCAGCCAUCUGGCCUAAUACUGACGCUGAGGUACGAAAGCAUGGGGAGCAAACAGG
rnacentral:rRNA from 1 species